ACAACCAAUCCCGAGGUACAAAAGCAGCAUGAAAACUGACUGAAAGAUGUCACUGACGCAAAUUCACCUUAUUCACAGAGAUGAAAGAUGUUUUUCUACAUUUAUGUCAUCCUUUUUUUAGAGAUUCCUGCAGCUGCUGUGGGAGCGAAACUGGAUCAAGGUUCAAAGGCUUUGGUUAAAGCAGCGGGUAAAACUGUGUAUCUGCCCUGCAAAGUGACUGGUCUGGAGUCUUCUAAUUAUGUCCAUUGGUACCAAGUAAAAGAUGGUAAAGCCCCAUCAAGACUACUCUAUAUCAGCAUAGAUGGUGCUGUUGUUCGUGAUGAUAAAAAUCCUCAAACAAAUGACUUCACAGUGGACAAAACAAGGCUUUAUGACCUAAAACUGAGUGACACUCAGAGCAAACAUGCUGCCGUUUACUUCUGCGCCUCCUGGGAGUACGACUCAAGAACAGGACACAUGGUCUACAACUACGAUAUCAAAAGAUUUGGAUCUGGAACACGGCUGAUAGUAACCGAACCUGGGAAGGACAGUGUUGUGACACCAAAGCUUUCAGGAUAUCUGAAUAAGGCAAAUGAGAAGCCGGCGGCAUUGUGCCAGGCCAAAGACAUGUUUCCUGACCUGGUGUCAUUCAAAUGGGAAAAGAAAAGCAGUAGUGGUGGCUGGACCGAAGUAUCAAAUGACCAGAUUGUGGAGCACAGCCACAAUGAAGACCCAGUUACAAGUAUGGUGAUAUUAAACACACCCGAAGACAACAUCUACAGAUGCACUGUUACUCAUGAAGGAAGCAAAGACCCCCAACAAAUUGAAAUAAAAAAGAAAGAUGAAAAGCCGUCUGUAAUUAAACCCAGUGGUGGUCCUGACCCAACAUGCCCACCAAGCACUGAGACCCCGAUAUCACAAGAAUCAGCCAACCCGGAGAAGAAACAGAGUCUGCAGCUGUUUGUGUACGGCUACGCUGUCAUGCUCAUGAAGAACGUGCUGUAUUUUAUAGUAGUCUUCAUCGUUCUGUUAAAGAGAAAAGCUGGAAAGAAAGAGGAGCGCUCUUAAAAACUUCAGCUUAGUUCAUUUACUGAAUGCUUUAAAUAAACAUCAAGCAAAUGAAUUCAUGAGUUUAUCAGAUAAAGUAUGUUCAGCUGAUUUUUAUAGCUUGGUUGCCUCUGCUUAAUUGCUUUCGAUGUUCUGCUCUGUGCAACUUUUGCAUCUACUAAAAUGAAGAUAUCUGGUUUUAAAAAGUACAAUUUUAUAUAUUAA